UUUUCUCUAACGAUAGUCGCUCUUUUCUAUAAAGAUAUUCUCUCCUUGUGUGAUAUUAUUUCUCUUUCUGGUCUGUUCCUGCUCCCAGUGUCCGGGGAAGUGGUUUCGUUAUAAAACGAGCUGUUAUCACUACUCAACUGAAAGGAAAUCUUGGAAGGAGAGUAAGCACGCCUGUGCAUCCCAGAAAUCCAAUCUCCUGCACAUAGACAGCACAGAAGAGCUGGAUUUCUUGAAAUUAUUGACACCUCAUGGGUGGAUUGGACUGAUUCGUAACGGAUCUCGUGCUUCCUGGCAAUGGGAGAAUGGCACAGAAUUCUCCAGUAAGCUGUAAGUCACAGGGGGACUGUGUCUAUCUCUCUGUCUUACUUUGGAGUUUGUACAGGAUUUACACUCCCACGGACCCAGUGAAAAGGGCCUUGAGCCCCAAAAUAGGGCAAUGACAGAGACAAGAGGCAAUUUCAGCUCCGGCAGUGGAAAGAAAAAAUAGUUGGAACCUAUACAUUUCUCUGGGAAAUAUCCUCAGGUCCCUAGGCCUCUCUCAUCCACUCUUGGAGGCGCCACAGAUUCAAGUCUGUCCAUCAUCACAGCAGUGCAGGGGCAGGAUAGCCGGUACACAGUCAUCAGUCAAUUCUAGGAGAGAGGAGAGUUCUCUGUGUGUGCUCUUCCCCAUGGAAAUAUCAGUCAGAUCAUGGCCUCUGGUCUUCCUUUUUCCCAUUGAAUUCAGAAUGUUCAGCAGGUGAGGCUGCAUUACUGUGAGAGUAGAUCAUUUAUUCUGAUAGGUUCCUAACUCCUUCCUCAUUGAGUGAACCUCUUUCCUACUUCUGAGUUACCUGAUUUAUUGAUUACUAAGGCAUUAGUCUAAUUGGGUAAGUCCUCACUCUAAUGCUGUGAACAGGGAACCACAACACUUUUCUGCCAUGGAGAGUGCACCUACCAAUUUUCAUUGUUUUCCCUUGUACAACUCCUUGGAAUUUCUCCAUGAGGUAAUUCUCCAUGGAAAUCCCAAAAGAAGUUUAUUAAGAACCCCUUCUUGGGUGGAGCUGAAAUUCCUGACUCUACCAUUUCCGACUCCUUCUUAAACAUAGACAUACUUGAUUUUACUUAGGUGUUCAGGACCAGGCUGGUUUAGCAGAAGAAUAAUUGCCCAGGAGCUGGACAAAAGGAGGAGAGGCUAGACAGUGAGACUGGUCUUUGGAGACACUGUGAUAAUCCUUUUCACCAUCAAAGGGGUCGAUUCCUGACCCUUGUGAUGUCUUAUACGUGGAGAAAACUGGACUGGGAUCUCUAAGUGUUGUAGAUCUUCACAUAAAAGCAUGUCAAACGAUCCUAGAUUGAAGAAUAUCUGGAAUUUAUAAUAAAUAAUCUUUCUUUCCCAUUGUCUGUCUUCAGUUGAUUUAGGAUAUGGAGGAAGCUGUGUGCUAUACGGACUUCGGGACUUGGCAUACUUGGAAGACUGUGCCACGGACAGACACUAUAUUUGUGAGAAGAAGAUUGUGUGACCUUUUUGUUUGGACCUGAUGGAAUCCAUAACUGCCCACCACCUCCUGGAUCAUCCACUGCUCGGAGACUUUGGAAAUAUUCACGGAGUCCUCAGAAGAUCAGUUUUGGACAGUACUCAAGAUAGCUGUCAGUUUUCUUCCUAUUUUGGCAUCAGUAAGAACCUGAACAGUGGUUGUGGAUGGGGAUGAGAUUAAUAUCAGAGCUGAAGGGAGACAGAAGCAUCAGCGUCCACAUCUUUCUGGACUAGUCAUCGGUUGAUCAGCUUGCCCUCUCACUGGAUGCCAUCAUUAUCCCAGAUUAUGAAAGGAAAUGAUUUCCCAUUGUUAAUCGGAUAUUGUUAAGAUCUGGUUAAUGAAUUAUUUACAGUUUUAAUAAAUGCUUCCAAGUUUCUCUUA